rnacentral:ncRNA from 1 species
ACCAUUAGUUUAAGUUAUAUUUAUACAUGCAAGUUUCAGCGCCCCAGUGAGAAUGCCCAUAUUGCCUAUUAGCAACAACGGAGCUGGUAUCAGGCACAAAAAGCCCAAAACACCUUGCUAAGCCACACCCACACGGGAAUUCAGCAGUAAUAAACAUUGAAUAUAAGUGAAAACUUGAUUCAGCAAUAAUUUAAUAGAGCCGGUAAAUCUCGUGCCAGCCACCGCGGUUAUACGAGAAGCUCAAACUAAUAUACGCGGCCCAAAGAGCAGUUAGAGUAUACUAUUAUAGAAUUAAAAAGCUGCAAAGCCGUCAUACGCACAAGCAGACUAUAAACCCACAAACGAAGGUUAUUCUACUACCCUCGAACCCACUACAGCCAGGAAACAAACUGGGAUUAGAUACCCCACUAUGCCCGGCCAUAAACUUUGGAAACACCCGCCAGAUAACUACGAGCCACAGCUUAAAAUUUAAAGGACUUGGCGGUGCUUUAUAUCCACCUAGAGGAGCCUGUUCUAUAAUCGAUACCCCCCGAUCAACCUCACCACCCCUUGCCAAUACAGCCUAUAUACCACCGUCCUAGCUAACCCUUUAAAGGAAUAACAGCAAGCAAAAUAACUUUUAGUAAAAAAGUCAGGUCAAGGUGUAGCACAUGAGGCGGAAAGAAAUGGGCUACAUUUUCUAAACAGAAAAUACGAAAUAAUCUAUGAAACAAAAUAUGAAGGAGGAUUUAGUAGUAAAAAGAAAAAAGAGUGUUCUUUUUAAAUAGGCAAUAAAGCACGCACACACCGCCCGUCACCCUCAUCAUAACACAACAACCUAAAUAAAAUAAUAAAUAAAAGAAGAGGAAAG